ACGAACGCUGGCGGCAUGCCUCACACCUGCCAGUCGCACGCGACCUUCGGGUCUAGUGGCGCACGGGUGCGUAACGCGUGGGAACCUGCCCUUAGGUUCGGAAUAACUCCCCGAAAGGGGUGCUAAUACCGGAUAAUGUCUUCGGACCAAAGAUUUAUCGCCUUUGGAUGGGCCCGCGUUGGAUUAGCUAGUUGGUAGGGUAAAAGCCUACCAAGGCGACGAUCCAUAGCUGGUCUGAGAGGAUGAUCAGCCACACUGGGACUGAGACACGGCCCAGACUCCUACGGGAGGCAGCAGUGGGGAAUAUUGGACAAUGGGCGAAAGCCUGAUCCAGCAAUGCCGCGUGAGUGAUGAAGGCCUUAGGGUUGUAAAGCUCUUUUACCCGGGAUGAUAAUGACAGUACCGGGAGAAUAAGCUCCGGCUAACUCCGUGC
rnacentral:rRNA from 1 species